GCACGCGCAUUUUUUGAACUCAAGUUUUUAAAUUUAACGACGCUUCUGAAGAUGACAUUUGUCGAAACAUGUUAACAGGGCCCGCUCUAGGGGCGGACCAUCCGGACAUUUGUCCGGGGCGGCAGCUCUAAAGGGGGGCUCAGAAUGUGAUAAAAUUUUGAUAAUCGAAUUUAAUCGAAAUUUUUGCUUGUCGAUUUUCUCUUUGACGAAACUUAA